rnacentral:rRNA from 1 species
AGCGAACGCUGGCGGCAGGCCUAACACAUGCAAGUCGAGCGGCCGUAGCAAUACGGCAGCGGCAGACGGGAGAGUAACACGUGGGCACGUACCUUUCAGUUCGGAACAACCAAGGGAAACUUUGGCUAAUACCGGAUACGCCCGUAAGGGGAAAGAUUUAUCGCUGAAAGAGCGGCCCGCGUCUGAUUAGCUAGAUGGUGGGGUAAUGGCCCACCAAGGCGACGAUCAGCAGCUGGUCUGAGAGGAUGAUCAGCCUCACUGGGACUGAGACACGGCCCAGACUCCUACGGGAGGCAGCAGUGGGGAAUAUUGGAAAAUGGGCGCAAGCCUGAUCCAGCCAUGCCGCGUGGAUGAUGAAGGCCCUAGGGUUGUAAAGUCCUUUCGACGGGGAAGAUAAUGACGGUACCCGUAGAAGAAGCCCCGGCUAACUUCGUGCCAGCAGCCGCAGUAACAC